AUCCAGCUAGAGGACGAGUCCCAAAUAGGACGAUAUGCGCAUCCUGGAU
rfam:Trichobilharzia regenti genome assembly, scaffold: TRE_scaffold0035058